UCAAGUGUCAAAAGGGCAUUUGGUGGAUGCCUUGGCAUGCACAGGCGAUGAAGGACGUGAUACGCUGCGAUAAGCCGUGGGGAGCUGCGAAUAAGCUUUGAUCCAUGGAUCUCCGAAUGGGGGAACCCACCUUAAAUGCUUGGAAAAUUUAAGUCGUGCGCAAGUACGGCUUAGGUUUCCAAGCAUUGUUUAAAGGUAUCUUAUCCUGAAUACAUAGGGGUAAGAAGCGAACGCAGGGAACUGAAACAUCUAAGUACCUGCAGGAAAGGACAUCAACCGAGACUCCGCAAGUAGUGGCGAGCGAACGCGGACCAGGCCAGUGGCAAUGAGGAAUAAAGUGGAACGACAUGGAAAGGUCGGCCGUAGAGGGUGAUAGCCCCUUACACGUAGAACACUCAUUGUCCUUGAGUAAGGCGGGACACGUGAAAUCCUGUCUGAACAUGGGGAGACCACUCUCCAAGCCUAAGUACUCGUGCAUGACCGAUAGCGAACAAGUACCGUGAGGGAAAGGUGAAAAGCACCCCGACAAGGGGAGUGAAAUAGAACCUGAAACCGGAUGCCUACAAACAGUUGGAGCCCGCAAGGGUGACAGCGUACCUUUUGUAUAAUGGGUCAACGACUUAGUGUGACGAGCAAGCUUAAGCCGAUAGGUGAAGGCGCAGCGAAAGCGAGUCUGAACAGGGCGUUCAGUUCGUCGCAUUAGACCCGAAACCGAGUGAUCUAGCCAUGAGCAGGUUGAAGGUUGGGUAACACCAACUGGAGGACCGAACCCGCAUCUGUUGCAAUAGAUUGGGAUGACUUGUGGUUAGGGGUGAAAGGCCAAUCAAACUCGGAAAUAGCUGGUUCUCCGCGAAAACUAUUUAGGUAGUGCGUCGACCGAAUACCCUCGGGGGUAGAGCACUGGAUGGGCUAUGGGGACUCACCGUCUUACUGAUCCUAACCAAACUCCGAAUACCGAGGAGUACUAGUCGGCAGACACACGGCGGGUGCUAACGUCCGUCGUGAAAAGGGCAACAACCCUGACCUCCAGCUAAGGUCCCCAAGUCAUGGCUAAGUGGGAAAGGAUGUGAGGAUCCCAAAACAACCAGGAUGUUGGCUUAGAAGCAGCCAUCAUUUAAAGAAAGCGUAACAGCUCACUGGUCUAAAUAAGGGUCUUUGCGCCGAAAAUGUAACGGGGCUAAAGCCAUGCACCGAAGCUGAGGAUACGUCGCAAGACGUGUGGUAGCGGAGCGUUCCGUAAGCCUGUGAAGGGAUACCCGUGAGGGGUCCUGGAGGUAUCGGAAGUGCGAAUGUUGACAUGAGUAACGAUAAAGAGGGUGAGAGACCCUCUCGCCGAAAGACCAAGGGUUCCUGCUUAAAGUUAAUCUGAGCAGGGUUAGCCGGCCCCUAAGACGAGGCGGACACGCGUAGUCGAUGGGAACCACGUUAAUAUUCGUGGGCCUGGUGGUAGUGACGGAUCGCUUAACUUGUUCACACUUAUUGGAUUGUGUGGGCGGGGACGCGGUUCCAGGAAAUAGCUCCACCGUAUAGACCGUACCCGAAACCGACACAGGUGGUCAGGUAGAGUAUACCAAGGCGCUUGAGAGAACUAUGCUGAAGGAACUCGGCAAAUUGCACGCGUAACUUCGGAAGAAGCGUGACCCCAAGGGACGCAAGUCUGUUGGGGUGGCACAGACCAGGGGGUAGCGACUGUUUAUCAAAAACACAGGGCUCUGCGAAGUCGCAAGACGACGUAUAGGGUCUGACGCCUGCCCGGUGCUGGAAGGUUAAGAGGAGGGGUGCAAGCUCUGAAUCGAAGCCCCAGUAAACGGCGGCCGUAACUAUAACGGUCCUAAGGUAGCGAAAUUCCUUGUCGGGUAAGUUCCGACCUGCACGAAUGGCGUAACGACUUCCCCGCUGUCUCCAGCAUAGACUCAGUGAAAUUGAAUUCCCCGUGAAGAUGCGGGGUUCCUGCGGUCAGACGGAAAGACCCCGUGCACCUUUACUAUAGCUUUACACUGGCAUUCGUGUCGGCAUGU
rnacentral:rRNA from 1 species